GGCGCAGGCGGCUGGACAAGUCGAAUGUGAAAUUUCCCGGCUUAACUGGGAAGAGCCAUUCGAUACUGUUUGGCUCGAGUGCAUCAGGGGGAGGUAGAAUUCCCGGUGUAGUGGUGAAAUGCGUAGAUAUCGGGAGGAAUACCAGUGGCGAAGGCGGUCUCCUGGGGUGUUACUGACGCUUAAGCCCGAAAGCGUGGGGAGCAAACAGGAUCAGAUACCCUGGUAGUCCACGCUGUAAACUAUGGACACUGGGUAUGGGGAGUAUCGACCCUCUCCGUGCCGAAGCUAACGCGUUAAGUGUCCCGUCUGGGAACUACGGCCGCAAGGCUAAA
rnacentral:rRNA from 1 species